AUAUUUGUUUCCCAUCCAUGCCCCUCCUUCAGUUCUUCUCUUCAAUCAGCGAAUCUCUUGUUGCCCUUCCGUUCUCCGAUUCAAUAUCUGCACCUCAGUGGUCUCUCUUUCAAUGUUAAUAACCCUGGAAUUCCCUUAUUCAUAAUCACCACCAUUAAAAUCCCCAAUUGAAUGUGAGAUCCGUUUCAAUUCCCCUCACCCUUUCUACCCCAAAUCAUUCCCAAAUAAAUUGUAUUAAAUCGCACCAGCACCAGCAACCGUAAGCGUUCCCUUCUCUUCUCUAACAAAAGCAUCACCAUCAUGAAGAACAACCUGAAGAAUCAAAAUAUCUUCAUCUAUGCAAACGUCAUCGCUCAAAAGCGAACAUCUGAAUGUCAAUUUCAAAGGCACUAAAUGUCACCAAGAAUCAUACUUCACGAAAGAUAGAUGUUUCGCAAUAUGAGUGUCACGAAUAACCUAUUCUUCGUGUCCAUAGUUGUUCGCUGGAAAGGUCCAUGAAGGACCCCUUGCUUCGUGGGCCUGACAGACUUUCGUGGCCCUGUAAGUUCUUCGUGGUGUUAGCUGGGUCUUGGCCUAUAAAUACCCACACAUGUUAACCAGGUUCUGUGAGAGUGCAUAGAGAGAUAAGUAGUUUGUUCAAGAGUGUAUGUACUGGGUCUCUCUACAAAUCAAUAUAGUGAAUCUUUGAAGUUA